GAGUGGUGCAAGCGUUAUUCGGAAUAAUUGGGGCGUAAAGGGGUGCGUAGGCGGCGCAUUAAGUCAACUGUUAAAUCCUCCGGCCUAACCGGAGGGCUCGCAGUCGAUACUGAUGUGCUAGAGAUUGGAAGAGAGAAGUGGAAUUCUCGGUGUAGCGGUAAAAUGCGUAGAUAUCGAGAGGAACACCAAUGGCGAAGGCAGCUUCUUGGUCCAAAUCUGACGCUGAGGCACGAAAGCGUGGGGAGCAAACAGGAUUAGAUACCCUGGUAGUCCACGCUGUAAACGAUGAUCACUAGACGUUAAUUUUGCUUAGCAUUAUUAGUGUCGUAGCUAACGCGCUAAGUGAUCCGCCUGGGGAUUACGGUCGCAAGACUA
rnacentral:rRNA from 1 species